rnacentral:lncRNA from 1 species
UUUGGACGGGCUGAACAAUAGUCCACCCCGCAAUGUAAAAGAAUUCAAACAGCUAGCAUUACAGUGCAUUUUAGUUUAAACACGAUAAGUUAAUAGUUCACUGUGUUCAACUUAUACUUGCCAGCCGCUGACGUGUCACUUGUGUGGCGGGGAUAGGACCAAUUUUGUAAUUAUAAAUUUCGUGAAGCUAAUUGUUAAAAAAAAAUUAUGCGGGGGCUAAAUGUA